GCCUGUUCUCUGACUGAGCUAUCAGCUGAUGUUGUUGACAAGGAUGUAGGUUACACACACCGCGAUUUGUGUAUAGGUAACAAGCAAGGGAAAGGGUGCAGCCAUCCAUACUAUGUAUGCGGGUCAUUUUGGCCAUGGUUUGUGAACACAGGAUAUAUAUGUAUAACCUACACACAUCCAAUAUCCGGGAUUUCUCAAGUAUGUAUUGAAAUGAUACCAGGACUGUGUAGGUUCCGUAGUAUCCUGUACCAGUGAAGAUCCUGCACGUGAAAUCAGAUGUACAUACAAGUGUGUGUAAAUAACGACUUCCCCAUAUACAACCUCGUAAGGCAGUCGAUUGCAGAAUACCACCAGUGAUUGUUAAAGGUUCAAUGUGUUCUUCUUGCAACAGUCUCGAUAUCCUUCAACACGAGCAUAUAUGGGGCACAGCAUCAUGUCCCCAUGUGGUCAAAGCACCGAUCGUCAUUGCAAUGGUCGGACUUCCAGCUCGAGGCAAGACCUACAUGUCGAAAAAACUCACACGCUAUCUCAACUGGAUUGGGAUCCGCACCAGAGUGUUCAAUGUGGGCGAGUACAGAAGGGCUGCUACAGAUAAAUACAGAAGUCAUGAUUUCUUCCGACCGGACAACAAAGAGGCCCUAGAAAUAAGACAAAAAUGUGCUUUGAUGGCGAUGGAUGAUGCUACAAAGUUUUUAAAGAAUGGAGGAGAAGUGGCGGUCCUGGAUGCGACCAACACAACACGACACCGGCGGAAGCUGCUCGUGGACAUGAUACACAGGGAAAACAAGUUCAAACUGUUCUUUGUAGAAUCUAUAUGUGACGACCCGGAGAUCAUUGAAGCCAAUAUCGUUGAAGUGAAGGUGUGUAGUCCCGACUACAAUGGUAUGGACCAGACAGAGGCCAUUGCAGACUUUUUGCAGAGAAUCAAACACUACAGCGAAACAUACGAACCUCUCUGUCACGAACAUGACAAGGAUCUCUCGUUUAUCCAGAUCUUCAAUCAGGGCGAGCGAUUCCAGGUCAACAAACUAGCAGGACAUCUACAGAGUAGAGUGGUAUAUUACCUUAUGAAUAUUCAUGUGCUUCCCAGAACCAUAUAUUUGACACGGCAUGGUGAGAGUAUGAUGAACCUGAGUGGAAGGAUAGGAGGGGACAGUGAUCUGUCUGACCGUGGUGACGAGUAUGCCGAAGCUCUGGCAAAAUAUGUUGAGGAGGAAAAGAUCCCCGAUCUGAAAGUGUGGACCAGUGAAUUGAAGCGUACUAAGCAGACAGGGAAAUGCCUCACAGCUCCCAUAGAGCACUGGAAAGCCCUCAAUGAAAUAGACGCUGGUAUCUGUGAAGGAAUGACAUAUGAAGAAAUCCAGGAGAAAUAUCCAGAGGAGUUUGCCAACCGGGACCAGGACAAAUUCCAUUACCGAUAUCCCAGUGGAGAGUCCUACCAAGACCUGGUGGCUAGACUGGAGCCUGUGAUAAUGGAACUGGAGCGACAGGAGAAUAUUUUGGUGAUCUGCCACCAGGCUGUUGCACGGUGUCUGCUUGCUUACUUCCAAGAUAAAACUUCAGAGGAAAUCCCCUAUGUUCCGGUCCCCCAAGAGGCUGUCGUCAAAAUGCACAUGACCGGACAUGGCUGUGAAUGUGAAAAUAAUCUGCUGCUAAGCCGACCUCGCGUAUCUAAAGGUCCCACUCCACACAGUCAUCAAACUAACACCGGUGGCUUAUGGCUGUAAGAUUGAGUUUGUUGCCCUCAGCGUAGAUGCAGUCAACACCCACAGAGAGCGCCCUCAGCACGUCUCUGGCACAAAGAAUGGGCCCAUCGCAAAUGCGAUGUUUCCUUCCUGCACUAAGUGUUCCUCCCAUGUUGGUACUUAGUCAGCUAGCCUGUGAUUGGUGCAUGAGUUAGACUCCCUAACCAAUGGUAGUCCUUGGCCGCAUGUUGCUAUGGCAACGAUCAUCAGGAUAUCCCUAAAGCUCUUGACUUUGUGUUGUAACAAUCAAGUCAUGACAAUGGCAGUGAACAGCAACAAAUUAAAGCCAUUGUGCAAUUUGUUGACAUGACAAUAGUGCAGGAAUUCGUGUCCAACCAAUGGUUGUCAUGGUGAUAUGUGUAGCAGGAAGCUUAGUUUCGAUUACAAAAGAACAGUUUAAACAAAUGUCUUUCAGUUGUGAGUACUUCAUCCUUUUGUGUGUUUUUUCACAAAUUUGUCGAAAAUGGGAAUCACGAACAUAAAACUGGUGACACCAAAAAGAUAUUAACCUUUGACCUGUGAUUGUCUGUGUUGUCAAUGUUAUUAAGUAAGAAUUAAGUUCUGUAGUUGAAGUUUAACAAAGCAUGCAUGGUUCCUGACUUCCUGAAUCAUUGACCUUGACAUUAAAAAGAAAAAGUUUACAACAUAUGUACGCAAAGACUGUCCUCUUGCUGUGUAUCUGAGACUGCUGAAAUUGUGCUUAACCCUUUCACCACUGUGGACCAUAAUGGACUCAUCCAGAUCAAUGAAUGGUAGAGUUGACCAAAGUUACAUAGGGGUGAAAGGGUUAAUGAAAGCUAUGUUUGGUGUAAAGCACCCGACCCAGGAAAAACAGACCAACUGCUAAAAAUAAUCAUGGAUAUUUUCUACUGAAAUUAUUUUUAUGUUAAUUCAGGUGCAAGAUCUGUUAAGUGUUUUAUGAAGUGCUUAUGUGACUUGUGUCUAGGUGGUGAAAUCAAAAUGGAUGCAUUGCUUCUGUUGACUUGUUCUAUUGACUAGAGUCGAUUUAAGUUAAUGACUUUCUUUGUCAGAUAAGAAAUCCUUUUGACCUAUCUACCCAAACCUAAAAUCCUUGGUCGGGUUAUGCCAAACAGAUAAGUUUAUAGUGGUGGCCUGACUGAGAACAAAAUCGAGGCUCUUUAUAAAGCUUCAUACACCCGCUGACAGAUAGUCAUGCACCAGUUGUUUUUAAACUAAUAGCAUAUUUCAUGCAUGUCUUACUUAUUAUCGUUAAUUAUUUACUGUAAGGAGAUUUAUUCGCUGGUUUUGUAAAAGUCAUGCAUGCAUGUUGUCGCCUACAUCAAGGUAUUACCAGUGUUCUCAUUAAAAGCUGGUCGCUGGCAAAAGUAGCCUGUUACUUCUCAACUUUGCACUCUGUAGCAAGUGAACAUUCAACCAGGUAUUCCUUUCAAGUCAGCCACCUAUUUGAAACUUUUGUGAGAACACUGGCAUAUAUUCGAAACAGAUAAUGAUGUUUAUAUACCUUCUAACACAGUAUUUGUCUCACAAAAUGAUAUUGUAUACAAACAACCCCAAAUGUUUGAAGGCUAGUCAGUGCAUGUAGGACCAAGGCAUUUGAUCCUAAGGGGUAGGGUCAGGCAUACUUAUAUACAUCAGGGUUAGGGUUGAAAACUGAGAGUGGGUAAAUUAUCAUAGGGUUAGGGUUGAAAACUGAGAGUGGGUAAAUUAGCAUAGGGUAAGGGUUGAAAACUGACAGUGGGUAAAUUAUCAUAGGGUAAGGGUUGAAAACUGACAGUGGGUAAAUUAGCAUAGGGUUGGAGAUUCCCAGAAACUACUUGAAAUACUCCCUGGAUCUGACACUGUUGUACAGUGUAUGUACCCAUAUUUGUCAGUCAAUAAAUCCCUGCCUUGUUAUAGCCCUGCACCCAUAUACAUGUACAGCUGAGUAGAAAGGGUAACAAAUGCUAUUACAUAAGUGUCCUGUAAUAAGCCUCCUAACUUUUGAGUCAGAGAUAAUGUGUUGAGGCUUUGAUUCCUUUAGCCUUCAGGAUGAUUAUGGUAUCCUCUUCAGCAUGAUUGAAAUCUCAAUAGAGGGAAAUGUUUUCUGUUUCUCAUCUAUAUCUUUUAAAUUAAAUUGAACUUACUGAUGCACUCAAUAUUUACAUACUCAAAAGCUCAAUUAUAUAAAUAAUAGAAUCUGAACAAUCAACUUUAAAAUGUUCAUCCUCUGUUAGGACUCCAGUGCUGGAUAGGUGUUCUGGUCCACAGGCCAGUAGUAACCUUAAACUCUACUGGACAACUGAAAUUUGCAAAAAAAAUAUGCUACAUGGCUGAAAACCACCAACUCCACAGAAGUAGGAAUUUUCACAGCUUUCAUUUAUAUCUAGGGUAUUUACUGGAUACGUUUUUCUUUGAGCAUUUUAACAUAUCAGUCAGUACAGUGUAAUUUUGGCCAGAAGAUUAGAUUUUAUUCCCGCAUAUGAACAUUUUGAGCAAGGCUUUGUCCAGCACUGGAUUUUAUUUAUCAUUGACCAUGUCAUUACUUAUACCCAGUGGUUUGUAGUUACCUGUUGUUCUAGACACAGGACCAUGGAACUUUGUUCGUCUAAACUCUGGUAAUACAUAUAACAUAGUGCUUCACCUGUAAUUGAUUGAUUGAUUGAUUGAUUGAUUACACCUGUCAUUCAAAGUGCUUCACCUGUCAGAACGGUCGUUGUUGUUCUACAUACCAGGUAAUCCACGAUGGUAUCUAACAUAAAAGAUUACUCAGAACAAAGUACCAUUUACCACUUUUAAAUAUUAUCCUGAUGUCUAUAACAUGUAUCUACAUUUCUAUUUGUAGAUUAUGUAAAUUUUUAUUACAUUUUGUCCAAAGAUCAGCAUUUAGUCAAAUUGGUUCUUAUUUAUUUAAACAAAUGUACCAGAUCUACACAAGGUAUUUUAGUACAUGUAGUCCAGUGGGACCUGUGUAAGAUGAUGAGAGAUCUUUGUUAUUUCUACCUUCGUUUAGUUUUCAGGUAUUUUAUGUUGUGUAACAGGUUCAGUUGAAGAUUUAUUUUAUGUGUUCCCAUAUCUAGUAUUACGGACCAAAGAUUGUAUGUAAUAAAGUGUUUUUGAUAUAAAUAUGUGCGAUGUUGUUUAUAUGUUGUCACACGACUACUGUAUUACGUAUUGAGUACUCCAGAUCUUUGUCAUAUUUUUAUGUAUGACUUAAGGAUCCCUGUACCACUGCCAAAAACUUAAACGAUAAAUCGGAAACUUAUUUUUGAAAAUAAUAAUAAAGAUGAAAUAUAACAGUUGCCCUAACCAUCUGAGCUACGGGAUCAGGGAAAGUUCCCUGGUCUUGUCCCACUACAGUUAUGUCUAAAACAAAAUUAAGGGGAGAUUACUAUGUGUAUGAAAAUCUAGUGGAAUUCUUAAGGAUCCCCGUACAACUGCCCAAAACUGUAAAUAAUCAUUGGAAACUUCCAGCGGAACUAUAACCUUGAUAAAUAAUUUUUGAAAAGAAAACCAUACCUUGCAGGACUGAAGAAAAAUAACAGAGAUGAAACUAACUAAGUGGAAUCAACAAGAGUGUUCUGAGUGUAAAAAAACAAAGGAAGUGUACUAGCCCAAAUGUGUUGCAGUUAUAUCCAAACGGAAGUUAAUGGGAGGUUACUGUGUACAGGAAAAAUGGCAGUGCAGUGGGGCAGGGAUCCUUAAUGUGUUGUCACUGACUCUGAUAUCACAAUGAAGACAACAGACCUGGGCAGGAAGUGGACAUGGUGGAGUUUAAGACUUGACGGUGGCCAGAGAAAACCUGGUUUUCAUAAAUUCUUGAUUAUGCUAUUAAAGAGGAACAUUUCCUGGCGUCUGACGUCUGUACAGCACCAAGUGACUUAUCACAAUGGGUUGCUGACCAUUAUCUGCUGUCUAUUUGUAACCUUGAAGUUGAUCAAUAUUCAAAGUAACAAGGGUUAAAUUUGUUGAAACACUCACAUGAUUUGAAGAUAAGCAAAGACAAAUAUUUGGCCAGAUAUUGCUGGUAUAGAUUUCUUCCAAAAUAAAUCCUUGACCAAAACUUAAGAUCACAGUGGUCAAAUCUUUUAAGCCUUGCAAACAAGUUUUUCUUAAGAAAAGAAAGUCCUCCAGUCAUAUUUGGCCAGUAUCUUGCUAAUUUAAGUGCUACAAAUAGCAAGAAAAAACAUACAAACAAAACACACUGACUCAUCUUUGCGGUCAAGGAUCAAAUCGGUUAAAACACCUACAAUCCUGAUAUUUGGCCUGUACCAUGCUGGGAUUAAUGGCAGUUAAUUUUAUAAAAUAUUUUUAUAAACCUUCAGGAAAAGAUCCACGAAAAAGCAGAACAACAAUAUUGUGUCCGUAGGGUGCUUAAGCAGCUGGUUUGUUUGAAUUAAAAAUGAUAAAAAUGAAAAAGUUUGACAUUUGAAAGCAUUUGGAAAUAUCUCUAGUUAAUAUUGACCUAAAUAUAAUAUAUUGAAUGUCUGUGUCAUUAGUGCAAACCAGAUUCCUGAAACAGCCUAACAUCACCAAAAUGUUUGCGUCAAAUGGUUGUCUCAUGUUAUUUGAGGUGGAAGGAGAAGCUUCAAAAUGAUGCUGACUAUGACAGCCAUUUCUUCUGGUAAUGUUUAUAGAGGAACUUGCAGUGGAAUGUAAAUAUAUGUGAAUGACAAAUUCUGAGCUUCUUGGCAGGUUUAAAACAAACUAGGUAAAGCAUCUAUAGGCCAUGAAAAUAAUAUUACUUAAUGAAUAGACUGACCUUCGUGGAGGCUGAGGGACAGACCAUUAUGUAUUUACCACCACAUACUUGUAUUCCUUUUUUUAAGUAUUUUUUUCUCUGUUAUAUUUGUCUGUUUUAUCGUAGUGAAUGCAGGUAUAUAUGGUUGAUGUCCCAGUCACACCUUUU